AUGCUGGCAGGGCCACUGAGGAAGCAUCUAGCUUCCUCAUCCAGCUGCGUGCUGCAAGGCUGAAGUGCCAGCGGCUGUGGAAGAAGGUGGCUUCUGUGUCUGAGUGAAGAGCUGGGAUUUGUGCUUUCUUGUGGGCCAGAUUCAGCAUGUACAGCCCACGGGGCAGGGGGAAGUGCCUGCCUGUUGUGCUCCAGUAAAAACAGCUGGCUUUACACACAUGAGGCACAGGCCAUCCAAGGAAUAAAUAUGCAACCCCCACAUCUCAGGGAGGAUUGAAGUUGAGACCAAGGAGGAUGAAGGUGCCAGUGAGGCAAAAUGAAGAAGGACUCAUCACUCAUGACAACAGCUACAAGAAUUUGGCAUGGAGGAGGCCUAGUCUUUGCAGCAAGGCACUAGCAGAAGGCUGAAGCAAAAUGCCAAGGUCCCUGUAUUAAAGGAAUAGGGAAGGUAAGGAAAAGAGCAACACAAGGCUGUAUGAGAAAAGACUGA
rnacentral:lncRNA from 1 species